CUACAUAUCCACCGUUUGUAGUACAAUACUCUGUGUGAGUUGAACUACUCGUUUGAUCUUCUUGUGCCAGAUUGUUUUGAGAUUUGUUUGGCAUCAGCAACAGUGCAUUGUCAGUGGUUUCAGCUCCACUAGCGCCCGAAGGGGGUAAUCUCGACAAAGUUCCCCGAAGCCGUAUUGAUAUUGGCCGUCGGGCGUUCAACGUAUAGGGCUUAAACUUACCAUUUAAAUGGUCGUGAAGCCUAUCACGCGCAGAGUAAGAUCGAAAUGGAACCCGAUCAACGAGACCAAUGUUCUGUUGAUCAAGAAGUGCCCAACGCUUCAACAUUCUGCUAAGAUUGUCGUUUGAACCUUGUG
rnacentral:sRNA from 1 species